rnacentral:rRNA from 1 species
AGACGCGAAGCUACCCGACCUGAUGUCAUUUUAUCCGAGGGCGCG